AACGCUGGCGGCAGGCCUAACACAUGCAAGUCGAGCGCACCUUUCGGGGUGAGCGGCGGACGGGUUAGUAACGCGUGGGAAUAUACCCUUUGGUACGGAAUAGCCUCUGGAAACGGAGAGUAAUACCGUAUGAGCCCUUCGGGGGAAAGAUUUAUCGCCAAAGGAUUAGCCCGCGUUAGAUUAGGUAGUUGGUGGGGUAAUGGCCUACCAAGCCUACGAUCUAUAGCUGGUUUUAGAGGAUGAUCAGCAACACUGGGACUGAGACACGGCCCAGACUCCUACGGGAGGCAGCAGUGGGGAAUCUUGGACAAUGGGCGCAAGCCUGAUCCAGCCAUGCCGCGUGAGUGAUGAAGGCCUUAGGGUCGUAAAGCUCUUUCGCCUGUGAAGAUAAUGACGGUAGCAGGUAAAGAAACCCCGGCUAACUCCGUGCCAGCAGCCGCGGUAAUACGGAGGGGGUUAGCGUUGUUCGGAAUUACUGGGCGUAAAGCGCACGUAGGCGGACUGGAAAGUAUGGGGUGAAAUCCCAGGGCUCAACCCUGGAACUGCCUCAUAAA
rnacentral:rRNA from 3 species